AUACAAUCUGAUUUGUCAUUUAGAUUCUAUUCUAGAUGCUUGGUAUCUUGGAGACAGACCUUUGUCUGUCAUACUUACUCUGAAAACAGUCAUGCUUCUAGUGGUUCAAUUUGCUAAUGCAAGGGUUGAUUUUAUGUGAAGCCAUGCUGAAUGUACUGCAGUGCCAUGCUGGGCAUCUUAAAGAACAAGGCAUUGUCCUCUGCAGACACCCAGGCUGCAGACUUCAAGGACUGGAAGAAGAGCUUUGCGUCUUCUCUCUUCUCUAUACAGACACAAUCUGUAGCAGCAAAUGUGUUACAGAUGAAGGACAGAAGCUGGGGUUGCAUGUAGAGAUGAACCCCCAGUGGAUUCCUGUGAUGUCCUUUGCAGCAGUGUCAACAGUGAAGUCCCAGAUGACAAGACUGGCAAGGAUCUGAGGUUACUAUGGUAUCCAGUGGUUAGUGGUCAUUUUGGAGGUUAUGUACAGACUACUACUAACUUGCUCUCACUAUUGGAGCUGGAGAAGAACUUAAGAAAAAAAUAAAUGCAAAUUAUACCAUAUACUCUUAAAGAACUUCACAAACAGAUGGUUUAUCUUCCCAACACCCAGAAAAAGUAGGCCACAGUAAGUUUCUCUUCAAAGGCGAGACUGAGACUGAGUUAUGUUGGGUGACUUGAGUAUAGGUCUCAAGAAUGCUAGGAUGUGGAUGUCUGUCCAAUGACAUUUUGAUGUCUCCACUUUCUGCAAACCCUCAUCUCUCACCUGCACCAUGGAAAGUAUUUGCAGGCAUCCGUCUGCUUUUGCUUUUGUCCUUCAGCUAUGUGUGUUCCUGGUAGAACAACCAGGGUGAUCCUUUUGAAAACAUAAUCAUGAUAGCUAAUUUUGUAAAUUGUUUACAAUGUGCUAAGCUCUGUUUUAAGUACUUUUAUGUAGUAACUCUUAUUUUUACAUCUACUUUAAGUGCAGGUGCUGUUACUAUCUCCUACUCACAUAUACGGAAGGUGAGGCACGAAAUGUUUGCAUUAGUGAAGGUUCUCCUGAGAAGCAAAACCAACAGGUUACACAUAGUGAAGAGUGAUGAUGAGCCUCACAUGACUGUGGAGGCUGAGAAGCCCCACAAUCUGACAUCUGUAAGCUGGAGAUCCACGAAAACCAGUGGCAUCUGAAAGGAAAUUAAAUAUUGGGAUCCCAAACUCAUUAAGCCAAAGGGAAAAGUCGAGCUGGGAACUAGGUCACGCAAACCUGCCACAUUCUUUUGGUUCCUAAAUAAGAUGGCUACAAGAUGAAAAGCUACAUGCUUACCCUAUAUUUUGCCCACAAGGAAAUUCCUAGUGAGCUGCAAGACCUUUUAAGGUGUUAGUGUUAAAACUUUACCAUAGCAAUGUAAAUUGAUAGCUUAUUUUAACAGGUGCAGUCACACCCCUGCCCCCCGACCGGUCUACUAGACACAAAUACAUAUCUGAUUGUUCCCCUGUCCAUUUUGUCUAUGUUGUCUCAUAUAAAAAGCAGAUUCCCUGCAUUUUUCCUCUGCUCCAUUUGUCUAUGUCAUCUUAUGUAAAAAACGCGGGUUCACCGAGCCAGACAAAGGCAUGAAUGACGAUUUUUCUCUACCCACCUCUUACAUGAAAAUUGUGUAAUUCUCAAUAUCCAGCCCUUUCCCCUUUAAAAUUGGAGCCCUCAAAAUCAUCUUUGGAGAAAGGCAUAGACCUGUCUCCCAGGUGCACGUCCUUAACUUUGGCAAAUAAACCUUCUAAAAUGAUUGAGGCUUGUGUAGUCAUUUUUCUUGAUUGGCAGGUGUAACCUCAAUUAUUCUAGGAAGUCCUGAAAACCAGGGGAGCCUAUGGUGUAAACCCUAGUCAAAGGGCGGGAGAAGACCAGUGUCCCAGCUCAAACAGGCAGGCAGGAACGGAACAAAUCCUCCCUCUUGUACUUUUUUUCUAUUUAGGCCUUCAAUGGAUUGGAUGAUGCCCACACACACUGGGAGAGCCAUGUUCUUUUACUGAGUCCACCAAUUCACAUGCUAAUCUCAUCCAAUACACCUUUAUAGACACAUCCAGAAAUAACAUUUAUUCCAGGCACCCCAAGGCCUAGUCAAUUUGACACAUAAAAGUAACCAUUGCAGGGGUUAAGUAACCUGACCAAGGUUACUAAGCAAAUAAUUAUCAGAGCCAGGGUUUAAACUCAGGCAGUCUGAUUCUAUAGCCUGUUUACUUUAUCCUGAAUAUGAUUAUAUCACCGCUUAAAGUCCAGCAUUGGCUCCCCAUUAAAAUUUAAAACAAAAUCUGGACUCCUUAAGAAAGGCAGAAUAAUUGUCUGCUGCCUUCUGUCUGAUCUCUUUAAUCACUCCUAAACUCCCUUCCAGCCACAUGAGCCAUCCUAAAGUUCCCCAGAGCUACCAAAUGUAUUCUUUAUUGAGAAAAGCCUUGGGAGGGCCUCUUCUCAAAUUCAGGUAAUGAGUUCCCAGGAAAUAAAGACUUGGUAUUCUAAAAAAGAAUAACUGAAAAAAAAGAGUAAUGAAUAGGAUACUUACAAAGGUACGGCUUCAUUAAAACUAAGAAGGGUCAGUGAAUAUACCUGGAAUGGCAAGUGGGAAAGCUCAUUACUAUCCUUAACUCUGAAACAGCAAGAGAAGAAACAAGUUAUCAGAACUUAGCAAUACCUUUAGCUUUGGGGAUGGAUCAAUUGGGAAAAGAGUGGUUUACAUAGGGGAGAAGUAACUAACAAAUUUCAGCAAGGAGGGUGUGACUUUGAGGUUGAUCAUCCUGGUCUCGUUCUUUUUCCCCUCUGAUCUGCUGAUCACCUGCUGUUAUUGCUCAAUAAUUGGAGCCAAGUGGUAGUCAGAAGCAACUCAACUGUUGGCCUCGUAUAUGCGAAUAUGUGUAAGAAGGGGUGACAGAGUGCUUGUGGAGAGGCAAAUAGAAUAUCCGUAACAAAGAAGACUUCCUUUAACAUCUUUAUUCAUGAUAGUAAGCUCCCCUAUUUCAGUGACUAUUAAAAUAUCUUAGUAUGAUUUAUUUUUCUUGUAAAUUGGUUUAAGUUCCUUAUAGAUGCUGGAUAUUAGACCUUUGUCAGAUGCAUACUUUGCAAAUAUUUUCUCCCAUUUUUUAGGUUGUCUCUUUAUUCUGCUGGUAGUUUGUUUUGCUGCACAGAAGCUCCUAAGUUUAAUUAGAUCCCACUUGUCAAUUUUUGCUUGUGUCAUGAUUGCUUUUGGCAUCUUUGUCAUGAAAUCUUUGCUCAUUUUUAUGUCUAGAAUGGUCUUGCCUAGGUUGUCUUCCAGAACUUUUAUAAUUUUGGGAUUUACAUUUACUCUUUAAUCAAUCUUGAGUUGAUUUUUGAAUAUGCUGUAAGGAAGGGUUCCAGUUUCAAUGUUCUGCACAUGGCUAGCCAGUUAUUACAGCACGAUUUAUUGAACAGAAAAUGCUUUCCCCAUUAUUUGUUUUUGUCAACCUAGUUGAAGAUGAGAUGGUUGUAGGUGUGCAGCCUUAUUUCUGGGCUAUUUUGUUCCAUUGGAGUACGUGUCUCUUUUUGUACCAGUACCAUGCUGUUUUGGUGACUGUAGCCCUGUACUGUAGUUUUCUGAAGUCAGAUAACAUGAUGCCGCUAGCUUUGUUCUUUUUGCUUAGGAUUGCCUUGGCUAUUCAGGCUCUUUUUGGUUCCAUAUGGAUUUUAAAAUAGUUCUUUCUAGUUCUGCGCAGAAUGUUCUUGAUAGUUUGGUAGGAACAUCAUUGAAUCUGUAAAUUUCUUUGGGUAGUAGGGCCAUUUUAAUGAUAUUGAUUCCUCCUGUCCAUAAGUCUGGGAUGUUUUUACAUUUUUUUCUUGAUGUCAUCUCUGAUUUCUCUGAGCAAGAAUAGAACAAAAAAAACCCAUUUAAAAAGUGAGCAAAGACAUGAACAGUCACCUUUCUGAAGAAGACAUACAUGUUGCCAACAAGCAUAUGAAACAAGGUCAAUAUCGCUGAUCAUUAGAGACAUGCAAAUCAAAACCACAAUGAGAUACUAUCUCACAUCAGUCAGAAUGAGUAUUAAUAAAAAGUCAAAAAAUAACAAAUGCUGACAAAGUUCUGGAGAAAAGGGAACACUUAUACACUGUUGGUGGAAAUAUAAAUUAGUUCAACCAUUAUAGACAGCUGUAUGGGAAUUCCUCAAAGCUAAAAACAGAACUGCCUUUUGACCCAGCAAUUCCAUUACUGGGUACAUACCCAGAGGAAUAUAAAUCAUUCUACCAUAAAGCCACAUGCAUGCAAAUGUUCAUUGCAGCACUAUUCACAAUAGCAAAGACUGAAAUCAACCUAAAUGUCCAUCAAUGAGAGGUUGGACAAAGAAAAUAUGGUACAUAUGCCCUAUGGAAUACUAUGCAGCCAUAAAAAAGAUGAAAUAAUGUUUUUUUUUUUUUUUGUGGCAACAUGGAGGGCAUCAUUCUUAGCAAACUGACACAGGAACAGAAAAUCAAAUACCACAUCUUCUCACUUACAAGUAGGAACUAAAUUAUGAGAACUCAUGGACACACAAAAAAGGAACAGCAGACACUGAGGCCUACUUGAGGGUGGAGGGUGAGAGAAGGGAGAAGAGCAGAAAAAAUAACUAUUGGGUCCUAGGCUUAGUACCUGGGUGAUGAAAAAAUCUGUACAACAAACCCCUGUUACACAAGUUUACCUAUAAAACAAACCUGCACAUAUACCUCCAAACCUAAAAUAGAAGUUAAAAAAAAAGUCUCCUACAGCGUUAAAUGGCAACAAUUUGUAUGCCUUUGUUGUAAUAUCCCAUAUUCAAAUAAACUAUUGCUUUAUAUAUCUCCCCAUUGUUUUCUUCCACUUAAACAUAAGUUCCUCUGGUAUGAAAAUGAUUGCAUUUAGUUUGUGGCUCAGUGCAUGGAUCACUGUCUAGCAUUAGAAUAUUGUUCAAAUAAGGUUCUUGAAUUCAAGAAUAAAAUGUUUGAAAAGAGAAAUGAGAGAAUGAAUGGGUCCUAGGUUCAGACCUUUAUUAAGUAAAUUUUUUUUUGUCAGUUAACUUGGCUAUUUCUUUAUUCAUAUUAACUUUUUUAAAAAUUUUAUUAUUAUUAUAUUUUAAGUUUUAG
ensembl:lincRNA